AGUUCUACAAAAUUCGUCAGUUUCUAUUUGUUUGCAUGUAAACAUGUCUUGGUCUAUAAACACCCAAUUAAUCUAACAUAAAUGUUUUAGAAACAAAUAGUUCAAAGGGUAUACAUAUACAUAUACAUACACAUACACAUAUACAUAAUAUAUAUAUAUGUAGGUGUAUAGGUUGUGCAGAAAACCUAGCUAAAUAAGACUAAAUAAUGGGGGGGGGGGGAUCCACUGUAUUGAUCACAGUGACAACACUUUUGCUAAUUAUACACUUGGACAAAAAAUUUUAUGCUUUUUUACUUUUUUAUAGAUUAAGGUUGAGUAGGAAGAGCUGAGCAGAUGAGACAAAAAAGAUUUUCAGUAUUGCUGAAAGGGCACUCGCAACUGGCCUGCGCUCAUCUGCUUACUCCAAAAUCAAUAUAAGCUUAUUAAUAAUUAUUUAAUCACUCCAGAAAUUAUUUUACCCCCUAUCCAGAGAUUGCAGAGACCUGAGAUUGGGGAUGGAGGGAGGGAUCAGAGAGUCAAGAGUUUGGAGUUCAACAAAAAGAUGAAAAUGCAGAUAAGGGAUUACGUUGGUGGCCCGAGUAAGCGGCCGGGUUUGACUCAGCGGAACAAGCGACGCCUGAGCGGUGAAGUCCCAUGAAGCGAGACACGAACAUACGGGUUAAAGUGAUGAUCGAGCUGACAUCGCCCUGAGCUAUCAGAAUAUUUCUGGGGUUGAAGAUGAUGACGGAGAGAUUGCAUCAUCAUCAUCACCGAAUUUAAUUGACUUCAGUUUUCGGGAAAGAUGAAGAGCCAGCAGCAGAGCAAUAAAGAUGAGACCUUGGGAUUCAAGAUUGAGGGGGGGAUUAUGGAUUUAGGGUUUGUAAAAUGUUUUCAACCGGUUUAAUCCGGUUUUGUUAACGUUGGACCGGUUUAAUCCGGUUCAUUUGCUUGGAAAUUUUUAUGCAUUAUAUAACAUAUUUUAUAAAAACUAAAAUAUAAAAAUUUACCUAUUUUCUUUUUAACAUAUCAAAAUUAGCAUAGUGGGUGUGUGCGUGUGUAUGUAUAUAUGUGUGUAUAUAUAUAUAUAUAUACAUAUAGGGGCUUGGUGUAGGGGUUGGGUGUAGAUAUGGGCAUAAUCUAAAUAUAUAGUUUAAAAAUUAUGACAAAGGUGGC
rnacentral:lncRNA from 1 species